rnacentral:lncRNA from 1 species
CUACGCGAAUAACUUCAUGAAAUUCUGGUUGCUAGGCAACGUGGAUGCUUCUCUGGCAGUUUUUCUUUGAUGAGUCAAACACGAAGAAAGUAUGCUAAGCUGGUAAAAAUAAUUUUUAUCGUAAGGAAGGUUGACUGAAAAAUAGCAAAUCGUUGUUUGGACAGUUACAUAAUGUUUAAGAAGACUCGGCAAUUUUUGUGUCGCGCAAUUGUUUCGCACCUGACCUGAUAAGCUUCCGAUUGCAUGGUCUCAAUACCAGAAGCUUCUUCUCGCGAUGCAUUACAUUGCAGGGAUGGAAAGCGUAUCGUGAACACUUGUUACGCGCGUUGCCUCUGAAUUUGGCUUCGGCCAUGGCCACGAAUGAUUGACAGAUUUCGAUUCAUGAAUCAGUUGUACGUAUUUGAACAGUUACACGAUGACAAACAAGUAGUAAUUGAGCGCACAUAUGCUUCUACUGACCGAUAUUAAUCACGAAAGGCGAUUGAAACCUCUCGUCAGGUUUUUCACCAGUCACUCCUCUACAAAGUUUAAGCUAUUGUCUUUGGUAUAACAUACCUUAUUUAGAUAAACAAUUUUCCAAUUAUA